GCAACUAGUUAUAAAUAAGGCUAAUGAAGAAGCUCAUCACCUCCAUCAGGAGAAUCUCAAUGGCCAGGGUGAUACAGCCAGGGUGAUUCCCUUGACAGAACCCAACUGGGCACUAAUAGCAGGGACCAAGGCUUCCUAGAACAUUACAAAUAAAUGGUGCAUAUUGGAAGGGGUUAAGAAAGGAGUGCUAAACAAAGGAGCCUGAAUAUGGUACAGGCUGUUCAACAAAACCAAAUGAAGACCCUUUUGAUUUUUUACAGAGGAUCUAUCAGGUCUAUCAAAAGCACGCUGAUGCUGAUCCACAGGGACCAGAAAAUGUCUGAAUGGUAAAUGUGACUUUUAUUGGGCAAAGGGCCCCAGACAUCAAAAGGAAACUCCUAAAUUUAGAUGGGGCAUUGGGAAUAAAUCCCUCCAAGCUGGUGGGCACAGCCUUUAAAGUUUACCACCCCAAUUUGCUUGGGAAACAAGCAAACUGAAUCAGGCCACCGCUUUCUUAGAAUCAGUGUGGAAAAAUCAGAAAGAGAGGUGGGACCCAAAAGGAAAAGGAAAAGACCCACUGGUUGCCAACCAAUGCACCUGUUGCAAAGAGGAAGGCCAGUGGAGAAAGGACUGCCCAGAACUCAAAAAGAAAAAUAAAAGGAGAGAAACCCUUGCUGAAAAAGGUUAGACAGGAAUGGCAAAUCUGGUAACAAAUGAGGAAGCCCAGGGGCUCCCCUAGAUAUCUCCUGACCUAUUACUAUUUCCCCACAGGAGCCCAUGGUGCAAGUGACAGUGGAAACAAGCUGAUUGACUUCCUUGUAGACACAGAAGCUACACACUACUAAAUACAAAACCACCCAAGAGAAGUUCAGCUGUGGUGUUGGUUCCUGGAGUGACUGGACAGUUAUAAAAACAGGUGUUCCUUCAACCUCCAGAAUGGCAGCUUGAGGAUCAAAAACUUAAACAGAGUUUUCUCUCCACGCCAGGCUGCCCCAUUCCAUGGUCGGGUCAAGAUUCCCUUUGUAAACUGCAUGCACAAAUAACCUUCCCCCCCCCGAGAAGCAGCAACUAGGUCUAGAGUUCCCAUCGGAACAUGCUGCCCAGGUGCAGGCACUCCUGACUUGCCCAGAAGGACCCAGAGGUGAACUCUUCCCACCUGAGAUCUCUGGGCAGGUCGAUGAAGCCAUUUGGGCUGCAGGACCCCAGGCAAGGCGAUUAACAUCCAACCCACAAAAAUUAACCUAAAAGAAGGGGUGCAGAUCCCACAGAAGAAACAAUACCUUCUUAAAAGGAAGCUCUAGAGGGAAUUCAACUAGUACUGCAGAAAUACUUAAAAGCAGGCUUAAUUUGGCCAUCCUAGUCUUUCUAUAAUACCCCUAUUUGGCCAAAAGCCUCAAAGACAACUGUUCACUACAGAAAUCUCCCAGAAGGCAGGAUGGGCACUACAGGUUCCAUGGAAACUACAUGCAUCUUGGAGACCUCAAUCUACAGAAAAGAUAGAGAAAAUGAACCACAUAAUAAAGAAGAGCCUGAAAAAAUAUGCCAGGAAACAUGUUUGAAAUGGAACCAGGCCCUCCCUAUUGCCUUGCUCUGAAUUUGGGUGGCUUCCAGAAUGGGCUAAAAUUAAGCCCUUUUGAGAUAGUUUAUGGGAGAUGCUUCCAAGUUUCUGUUUUAGGAACACCCUCUUCAGAUUUCGAACAUGAAUGAAAAGUCAAACAAUAUGUACAACAUUAGGGCAAACACAACUUUGUGCAAGUUUGUUCACUUCAGGUCUAUCUACCUGUCUGAAGAACCCUUACACCCAUCCCAGCUGAGACACCGAGUCUAACUAAAGACCUGGAAGACUUGAGGUCCUGAACAGCAGUCAACUGAAUAAUGGACCUCUUUCUGACAACACACUCUUGCCUAAAGCCUACAGGAAUCCAGCACUGGGUCCAUAACACACGGAUAAAGCAGGUGCGGCCCGAGGAGAACUCAGAUCUCACUGCUGCUGUUGAAACUGCAAGGGAAGGCUGGACCUGAACUCCUGAAGGAUCUAUAAAUUCCUUUUUCAGAGAGAGGCAGCACCUACACUUUCAAUAAUGGAUAGAACAACCAGUUAAGAUAUCAAUAAGUAAGUAGAGAACUUGAACGCCACUAUAAGGCAACUUGACCUAACAGACAUACAGGACACCUCACCCCAAACCAGCAGAAUAUAUUCUUCUCAUGUGCAAUAGAAGAUUCUUCAGUAUAGUCCAUAUGUUACGCCAGAAACAAGUCUCAAUAAAGUCUGAAAGACUGAAACCAAGAGGUAUUAUCUUCUUCAACCACAAAAGAAUAAAACUAACAUCAGUAUCAGAAAAAAAA